rnacentral:lncRNA from 10 species
ACUGUUGUUUCUCUAUACUUUGUGUCUUAUUUCUUUUUUGUCUCUCAUCCCACCUGACUAGAAAUACCCACAGGUGUGGAGGGGCAGGCCACCCCUUCAUUAUGAGAUUACAGGCAUGAAUAACCCCACCUGGCCACCUAACUCACUCUUGAGAGGCCAGAAGUGAUGCUGGAAUUUUCUUCCUCUGUGGUUUAAAAAGGGAAAAUUAGGGAGAACACAAGGCAUGAGCGAUGCAGCGAUGGAUAUGUCUAUAUGGAGCUUCUGUCUGCAUCCAGUAGAAAAUGCAUUUCUAGGCACCAGGUUUAAGAGCGAAAACCUGGAGUCUUGUCUGUUAGCAUUCUCCUUCCCCACAAACCAGAGAGGGAAUACAUUUUGCUCCAGCACACCCGUUGUAGGAAAUGUCACAUUCCUAUUUCUGUAACUUCACUUAAAUCUGCUCUGAGUCCCUGGAUGCCUGGCAGGUGGAGAAUUCAAUCUUGUCGUUACCAGCAUUCCUUUCCCUUCUCCAUGGGCUUAUGUAAGAAUUCUGGGCUUACACACUGUUGGAAAGCCAGGUAGGAACUACUUCCCCCGAACUCUACAUUCUUCCAGCUGCUCAUGAUCCAUCAGCCUUUUUUGGGCCAUCUGCUAUAACAAGACCCUCCUCACAGCAUCAUUCCACUGACCCACAGGCUCAGCCCCAGGGACCCUCACUGUAACAGGUCUCCACUAUGCAUAGGAACUCACAAAAACCUUCUCUUCAUCUUGGCUUCCUCCGAUAUCCAGCCACUCCCCCCUUCUCACCUUAAACACAAAUGGCAGCUCCUUCCCAUCGUUCCAAACCUUGGGGAUUGUCCAGCCAAAUUCUCUUCAGACACCAAAGCUUCACCCACCCUCUUCAUGGAGAUGAUGCAAGGGCAUCUGAGAUCUUUGGAAGCCCAAUUCUGGCCUCUCUUUGGGGUGGGCUGAGAGUGGGAACUAGACUCUCUUUCCAAGUGCCAUGUUUAUCUUGUUCAUCAUUAUAUUAUCUCCAAUGCCUGGCACAUAGUAGGCACUACAGACUGACACAUAGUAGGUGCUAUUAGUGUCUGUAUAAUGGGACUCUUGAGGUCGAAGCUAUUAGCAGAAACCUACCAAGCAAAAGGAUGGAAAACCCGACCACCAAAAAAAAAAAAAAAAAAAAAAAAAAAAAGAAAACAAUCAUGGCUUUGAGCUCUAAACACACAAGGCACCAGCCCAAGUUUGGGCAAUUUUAAUACAACAGCCAUUUUGCCUCCAAACAAAGUGGCACUGGAAACCUCCCUCUGCCUCUUAAAGAGAACCAGUUUCUCUUUCUCUAAGUGGGCAGCAUUUCUCCCCGGUGACAGUACCCAGCCCACUGCCACCAGCAAAGGACUGCAUCCAGGAGCCAAGAGCUUGAUAGUUUAAAGAAUAUAUUUUAUAGGGAAAAACAAAGUAACAUCCACAUAAAUCUGGAACUACCAUCACUUUCCAGAGGCCGAAUCCCAUUUGUGGAGUCUCUUGCGUGUCAAGCACCUUGCAGUCACCUCAACUACAUACUUUUGGGAUUCGUUGCAGAGAAGAGUGAAGGUUAUCUGCAAAAUAAAGGAACUAGGGCUCAGAAUUCUCAGAGCAAUCCAUGACAGAGGAGGACAGAAAGGCUCACAGCCAGUGUCUCAGUUCCCAAUGAAAAGUGGAUCCCAGACCAGGCUGAACAGCAGGAUCCCUAGGGGAUACCCCACCCUACUGAGUCGAAUCACCGGAGAUAAAGCCUCGGUAUGUAUGUAUGUGCGUGUGUGUGUAUGUAUGUAUGCAUGCAUGUAUGUAUGUAUGUAUGUACGUAUGUGAGGCAGGGUCUUGCUCUGCAGUCCAGUCUGGAGUGCAGUGUCACAAUCAUAGUUCACUGCAGCCUCAAAUUACUCCUGGCCUCAAGCUAUCCUCCCACCUCAGCCUUCAGAGUAGCUGAGACUACAGGCACAUGCCACCAAGACCGUAUACUUUUUUUUUCCUCUUUCUUUUUGGAGAGAGUCUCACUCUGUUGCCCAGGCUGGAGUGCAAUAGUGCAAUCUUGGCUCACUGCAACCUGUGUCUCCUGGGUUCAAGUAAUUCUCAUGCCUCAGCCUCCUGAGUAGCUAGGAUUACAGGCAUGCACCACCACACCAGGCUAAUUUUGCUUUUUUCAUUGUUGUUUCUUGUUUGUUUUUCACAAAUAGGACUUCUUAUUUGCCAAUGUUUUAAGUCUGAACUUUAAACAGAUUGUUGGAUUGGUGGUUCAUAUCCAUCU